rnacentral:rRNA from 1 species
ACAGCAGUAGCCGCGGUAAAACGUAGGUGGCAAGCGUUGUCCGGAAUUAUUGGGCGUAAAGGGCUCGCAGGCGGUUUCUUAAGUCUGAUGUGAAAGCCCCCGGCUCAACCGGGGAGGGUCAUUGGAAACUGGGAAACUUGAGUGCAGAAGAGGAGAGUGGAAUUCCACGUGUAGCGGUGAAAUGCGUAGAGAUGUGGAGGAACACCAGUGGCGAAGGCGACUCUCUGGUCUGUAACUGACGCUGAGGAGCGAAAGCGUGGGGAGCGAACAGGAUUAGAUACCCGCGUAGUCCCUGUCUCUUAUAC